CUAUGGCAUUAAUCUUUUGGUUUUAUGAAGUCACAGGUAACGGGAAGAAGAUUCACUUUGGAAGGACACCACGCAUUCUCUGUUAUGGUGUUGGUAGUUACAAGAAACAAGCUGCUGUUAGUGCCUUGAUUGAUUCACUAGAGGGCAAGAAGUUUGUUCCACUCAUGGCCGACAGAGAAUCUGAAAUUGAACUGAUCGGAUGUGGAAAGGUUCAACGGAAUAACUCAUUGAUGGUUUUAGAGACAUCCGAUGCUAUGAAAGCACCUAAGUAUGUGAGGACAAGGCGAAGGAAAUUAGAUGGGGAAAUGAAGGGGGAGCCCUCCCAGACGAAAGGUCAGCAUAGUAGGCAGUCAGAUGUGUUCGUCCUUAUGUUACUCGAUUCUUUGAAGAAAUCCCCCCACGAGUUCGAUAGACCUGCCACAAUUUGUAGACCCAUGGCGCUUGCUCUGUCACAACAGAAGCAUUCAGUUGAUGGUCUUGAUAAAAUGAUGUCCCCAGCUUUAGAAGAUUAUGGCAGAGUGAAACUUGUUCUCAUGCCGGUUGCUUAGAACAAACAUUACCAUCUUAUUGUACUCGACAAAGACGAGAAGGCAUAUUUUCAUUAUUCAUCUGUCUGUAGUCCAGUUUAUGAUCAUGCAGCAAAUGCCAUGCGUUCCCUGUUUGAAGAUCGUUUGCAGAUAAAAUUCAAUGUCAAUGAGGCGGCAUCGUAUACCCUUACCCAUGUUCGUGACUGCCCACAGCAGAGGGAGGACAGUGUCGAUUGUCCAGUGUACUUGAUGGACUUCAUGGAACAGCUUUUGCAUGGCGAGGAACUCAGUGUAGCCCAUUCAGAUGUUGCCCAUCUGCGACAAGAGUACGCUGCACGCAUCUUGUCAGAUGGCAUUACACGAAACACACCCCAAUUAGCAUUGCCUACGCAAGCGUCAGAG